GGACUUAUAUUUAUGAAAUAAACUCUAUCUGCCCUUUGAGUUUAGAAUUUGUUUUGGCCAAGAAUUUAUCAGGUUUUCCUUAAACAUCAGGCUUGCAAAUAUGCUUAGUAUUGGAUUUUUUUUUUUGUAAGUGUGGCUUUGAGGAAGUAUGUAUAUCACUAUGAUAUAUCAUCUCAUUCCCAUAUCCUCUCCAAAAGAGCAAGGCAAAUGUGUGUUAAUUUAAAACUGUAUGAAAAUGUUUGCUUAAAACCAUCUCUCUGGAAUAGAAAAUGUCAAAUUGUUGCACUUAUAUCUCCUUUCUUUUUCCUUUAGGAGAAUGGUGUUGAACACUUGCAUGCUGAGAGCCUGCAGCAGUCCAGGGAACAUCCCAUACUACCAUCACUUGGAGGCACUUCAUCGACGGACAGUACUGUAACUUCCAGUGAUUCUGGAUCAGAAAUUUUGAAUGUGGCUUCUAGUGACCUUGACGGUCAAUCACUCUGUAAGAAAGAGGAGGCUGCGUCUACCGUGAUGGAGACCCGAGGUAAGCUGUUGAAGGGUGUAAGUGUAGUUUCCACUCUAAAAGAUGGAGCAAGCCUGUAAGCUAUU